AAAGAAGGAACUCAGACCUGAAUCCAGAAUGAGAGUCAAAACUGGAGUGCACACUACAAUGUGGUUUUUCCUGACAAAGAAUCUCUCUCUGGCUUCUUCUGGGCUCAAAAAGGAUGCAAAAGAAAAACACAGCAAGAACAACCUCUCAUAAUGCUGCAUCAAAGAAAACCAACCACCGCGAGUGGGUUACCAACUUUCCGAUGUGAAACGCGAAGGGAGCGGUUUGAGACGAUUCCAAUGGUUCUGUGCUCAAAUGCUGCCAUCAAGCGGACAGACACAGUAGAAGACUGGAACUAAUAGUGAGGACAUUGUUUUGAAAGAGGAAAGUGGAUGGAGAGACAAAGAAUGAAACAGUAUUUUUGC